GACGAACGCUGGCGGCGUGCUUAACACAUGCCAGUCGAACGAAGAGCGACGGAAGCUUGCUUCUAUCAAUCUUAGUGGCGCACGGGUGAGUAACGCGUAAUCAACCUGCCCUUCAGAGGGGGACAACAGUUGGAAACGACUGCUAAUACCGCAUACGAUCUAACCUCGGCAUCGAGGAUAGAUGAAAGGUGGCCUCUACAUGUAAGCUAUCACUGAAGGAGGGGAUUGCGUCUGAUUAGCUAGUUGGAGGGGUAACGGCCCACCAAGGCGAUGAUCAGUAGCCGGUCUGAGAGGAUGAACGGCCACAUUGGGACUGAGACACGGCCCAGACUCCUACGGGAGGCAGCAGUGGGGAAUCUUCCGCAAUGGACGAAAGUCUGACGGAGCAACGCCGCGUGAGUGAUGACGGCCUUCGGGUUGUAAAGCUCUGUUAAUCGGGACGAAAGGCCUUCUUGCGAAUAGUGAGAAGGAUUGACGGUACCGGAAUAGAAAGCCACGGCUAACUACGUG
rnacentral:rRNA from 1 species